rnacentral:rRNA from 1 species
GUACACUCCUGCGGGAGGCAUCAGUAGGGAAUCUUCCACAAUGGGUGCAAACCUGAUGGAGCAAUGCCGCGUGAGUGAAGAAGGUCUUCGGAUCGUAAAGCUCUGUUGUUAGAGAAGAACACGUGCUAGGUAACUACUAGCGCCUUGACGGUAUCUAACCAGAAAGUCACGGCUAACUACGUGCCAGCAGCCGCGGUAAUACGUAGGUGACAAGCGUUGUCCGGAUUUAUUGGGCGUAAAGGGAGCGCAGGCGGUCUGUUUAGUCUAAUGUGAAAGCCCACGGCUUAACCGUGGAACGGCAUUGGAAACUGACAGACUUGAAUGUAGAAGAGGAAAAUGGAAUUCCAAGUGUAGCGGUGGAAUGCGUAGAUAUUUGGAGGAACACCAGUGGCGAAGGCGAUUUUCUGGUCUAACAUUGACGCUGAGGCUCGAAAGCGUGGGGAGCGAACAGGAUUAGAAACCCGAGUAGUCCCAUGA